ACAUCUUCUCCAAUCACACAUGAACAAGAUGCAUGGAGCAUAAGCCCGACCUUGAACUAAUGUAACACAAUAUAACAAGCUAUCAAGCUCUCGGUAUGACGAUAACCACAUAGCAGAAGAGAUUAUAGGGAAAGAAAGCAGAAGCCGUGCUCUGCUCAGCAUGGAGGAGCCAAGACCCAGGUUGUCAGUGGAUGGUGAAGAGUUAGGCUGGGGUCAAGGUGGGGAUUGCGGGGCAGAUGCCUGAAGACUGGAAACGCUGGGCUAAGAAAAGAGGGGAAUCCACAAAUAUGUUUAAAAACAGCCUUGAAACCAAGUCUCCUGCCAUGCCAGACUGAAAAACCAUCUGCAAUCAGGAGAAGAGAGGUCCGCAGAGUCCCUGGAACGAUUGUGGAGGCUGCUAUAAAUCCCUCCCCAUUUAUAAGGACAGGCGUCUUCACAUGCAAAUUUCUCUUCAAGAUCCAGAGUAAAAUCCACUCUUGGGCUGUGGGAGCUCACAGUUGUCUCCUCAGACAGGGCUGAGCUCUCUGGGGAAGGCAGAGUGUAAUCUAGAAGAAGAUGAGACUCUUGUGUCUUCUCCUUUUCCUGGUGACGGCUCCCCAAGGAGUCCUGUCCCAGGUGCAGCUGCAGGAGUCGGGCCCAGGACUGGUGCAGCCCUCACAGACCCUGUCCCUCACCUGCACUGUCACUGGAGGCUCCAUCACAAGCAGCUAUUCUAGCUGGAGCUGGUUACGCCAGCCUCCAGGGAAGGGGCUGGAGUACAUGGGGUACAUAUAUUAUGAUGGUAGAACUUACUACAAUCCUUCCUUCAAGAGCCGCACCUCCAUCUCCAGAGACACCUCCAAGAACCAGUUCUCCCUGCAGCUGAGCUCCGUGACCACCGAGGACGCGGCCGUGUAUUACU